AAUGUGAUUGCUUAAAAAGUUCUAACUGAUGAAAAUUUGAAAAAUGGAAUUACCUUCAAUAUCAUUUUAUUUAUAUUAUUUCAUUUUGUUCCAGAGCAACCGAAGAGUUCAAAAAUUUUAUCAAGGAAAAUAUCAGGAAAGUGAAAGGAGUCAAAAGUAAAACUAGUGAAACCGGCUCUAGGAUGUCGGUAGAUUCCAGCUGCAAAGGAUUUCCACCAUUUAAAUCUGCGGUACGGUCCAGAGGCGAAUUUGGCAGCCAGUCAUUCGAUUCUUUGCGAAAACCUCUCAUUGAAAAACAGAAGCUGACAAAACAUGCUGAACAACUAAUUGAGAAAACCCGCUCCGAAAUUUGCUCAAAAAUUUCCUCAGCUAGUACUCGCAAAAAUUAUUCUGAUAAAGAAUGUCAAACAUAUGAAAUGGAAAAUUUACGAAUAGGCGAUCAAGAAAAACCUGCAUCAGCAGCCAGCUCAGCACGGAGCAUAGGUUUACAGACAGAUAUUCUGGAAAAUAGUAACAAGACUGAUAACUUUAGGACGACACCUAGUUUCAAGAUAAAAUCACCUCGCUCUAAAAAGAAGAGCUCGUGUGGAGUAAAGUCAAGUGAAGAAACCCUAAAGACCAAUCGUUCUUCAAAUAAUUUACCAUCUAAGAAUAGCGUACCAGAAUCUUAUCAAAGAGGAACCGUACCAAAGUAUAUACAGGAGAAAAAAUUACAAAAAGAGCAAGAAGAAACGGAGAAGAAGAAAAUGGCGCAAAUGCUGGGAACUGAUGAUCCUGACUGUCCUCCAGGCCACGUUAGACUGCCAGAUGAUAAACGGAAAGAAACUCUUCAAUUAAUUAAAAACAAAUAUGAUCAGUUACUACUAGAAUUAAAUGGACUACCUGUGAGAUCGGAUUCUUACAGGAUUAAGAAACACAGGACAUUCUUGGAAAAGGAGCUGGAGAAAAUGGAAGCUGGACUGAAAACAUUUUCUCGUGAAAAAUUAUUUGUAAAAAUAGCUCCAUAAAUCUGUAACAUCAAUCCUCUCACCUCUGUUCCCUCCUACUUUUAUGCUUUUUCUCACUGCCCACCACAAAUUUUAUGUGACGAUAAGAUGAAAUUAUUGUGUGAUAUUGUGUGAUAUUGAAAAUAAAAAGUGUAUUUUGAUCAAAAAUUAUAUAAGAUUUUUUUCUUUUUUAAACUUUCCCCUAAAACAGUUUUACGCGAAUAAAGCUUGAAACGUUCAUGCAUUAUUCAUUUACUGUCAUUUAGUCUGGACUUGAUCCAGGAGUUUCUUGUGCGACAUUAAGCUACUUAUGGGCUUCCCUCAUUUUUGAGUCAAAGAUCCCUAGGCCUGAACUAUAACACCUACUGCAAUCUUACAUUGUUUCACACUCCUAUUUCUAAAGAAGAAUUAAACCUUUUUUAUAAAUCUUAAAUUUACUGCACUUUCUGCCACAUUAGAAAAAAAUAUUAAGCCCAACUCCUUAAAACUAUGAUUGAGAACUGGCUUAUUGAUGGCUUAUUGUGGGUCUGUUACAUUAGGUUACGUUGCGUUAGGUAAGGUUACGUUAGGUUACGUUACGCCACUCAGGCUUGUGGGGUAAGAUCCUCUAAAUCCUGUCAUCCUAAAAAAAAGAACGUCAUCCUGAAAAGGAUAACAUCAUCCUAAAAAGGAGAUAACGUGAUCGUAAAGGCAAUAACGUAAUCGUAUGUUGAAGGUGGCAAAAGCAUGAAUUUGAAUUUGCCGCGAAGAGAAAAACGGACGGGGACGGUUGACUUUGACGCGAAAGGAACGGAAUGAAUCAGCCUAAGUACCGAAGUGUCUCGGAGGAGGGGUCAACGGGUCUGCAGAGAAAGAGUGGAGUGGUUGCGAGGAGCAGCCCAUGUACCGAAGUACACCCACAGUUAAAAACAGUAGAAUGUUCAAAACUUCUAGUGCCGAAUUUAAGAUAAGGCAACUUGUGCUCCCUGGAAACAUCAGAAGCACCAAAGGCACUAAGUUAUUUUCCUUCACAGUUAGUGAAUGCUAUGAGGUGGAUUUUGCAUUAAUGAUACUUGCUUCUGCUAGAUUAAAAUCAGUUUCAAUGA
rnacentral:lncRNA from 1 species